CCUACGGGAGGCACCAGUGAGGAAUAUUGGUCAAUGGACGAGAGUCUGAACCAGCCAAGUAGCGUGAAGGAUGACUGCCCUAUGGGUUGUAAACUUCUUUUAUAUGGGAAUAAAAUGUUCCACGUGUGGGAUUUUGUAUGUACCAUAUGAAUAAGGAUCGGCUAACUCCGUGCCAGCAGCCGCGGUAAUACGGAGGAUCCGAGCGUUAUCCGGAUUUAUUGGGUUUAAAGGGAGCGUAGGUGGAUUGUUAAGUCAGUUGUGAAAGUUUGCGGCUCAACCGUAAAAUUGCAGUUGAAACUGGCAGUCUUGAGUACAGUAGAGGUGGGCGGAAUUCGUGGUGUAGCGGUGAAAUGCUUAGAUAUCACGAAGAACUCCGAUUGCGAAGGCAGUUCACUGGACUGCAACUGACACUGAGGCUCGAAAGUGUGGGUAUCAAACAGGAUUAGAUACCCCUGUAGUC
rnacentral:rRNA from 1 species